UACAGAGGUCUCAAGCGUUGUUCGGAUUCAUUGGGCGUAAAGGGUGCGUAGGUGGCGCGCUAAGUCAGGUGUGAAAUUUCGGAGCUUAACUCCGAAACUGCAUUUGAUACUGGCGUGCUUGAGGACUGGAGAGGAGACUGGAAUUCACGGUGUAGCAGUGAAAUGCGUAGAUAUCGUGAGGAAGACCAGUGGCGAAGGCGGGUCUCUGGACAGUACCUGACACUGAGGCACGAAGGCCAGGGGAGCAAACGGG
rnacentral:rRNA from 1 species